rnacentral:sRNA from 1 species
GUGAUCCGCCUGCCUCGGCCUCUCAAAGUACAGGGAUUACAGGCGUGAGCUCCUGUGCCUGGCCUGCCUGUGUAGUUUUGAUCACCAUUUGUUUCCCGUCUAUGGAACCUCUGACUCCUCUGUCUGCUUUGACUGAGGAUUCUAUUCUGGGUGUUCUCUCAUGUCUGAAGCCUUCUUCAGAGCCUCUCCUCCUGUCAUCAUUUAAAGUACCCCAGCGUUUGUACAUUAUUACCAUGCACACUGUAACUCAGUAAAGAUUUUUGAUGACCUGUGGGUGUAGAAGGAUUAUAGAGGAAGAUCCUAGAUAACAUUGCUGCUAGUCUCUGCCCACAUCACAGCAUAUGUCCAGUGUUUUCCCUCCAGCCUACCUCUUAUAGAUGAUUGUGUAUGAUAUGUAGGAGAGCUCUUAUUUGGUCCUUGCUUCUGAAACAAAAGUUGCUGUUGAAUUGCUUUGGGUUCUAGGUUGAAGUCUGUACAAAUACCAGCAGUCCUCAUGCUGGCCUCUUUCCUAAAGAUAACUCGACACUGGCUGUGGACAUCUACAAAGGGGGUGUUGUGCUGGGAUGUUACUUUGGGCCUGCUGCACUCUACAUUUGGGCAGUGGGGAUCCUGGCUGCAGGACAGAGCUCCACCAUGACAGGAACCUAUUCUGGCCAGUUUGUCAUGGAGGGAUUCCUGAACCUAAAGUGGUCACGCUUUGCCCGAGUGGUUCUGACUCGCUCUAUUGCCAUCAUCCCCACUCUGCUUGUUGCUGUCUUCCAAGAUGUAGAGCAUCUAACAGGGAUGAAUGACUUUCUGAAUGUUCUACAGAGCUUACAGCUUCCCUUUGCUCUCAUACCCAUCCUCACAUUUACGAGCUUGCGGCCAGUAAUGAGUGACUUUGCCAAUGGACUAGGCUGGCGGAUUGCAGGAGGAAUCUUGGUCCUUAUCAUCUGUUCCAUCAAUAUGUACUUUGUGGUGGUUUAUGUCCGGGACCUAGGGCAUGUGGCAUUAUAUGUGGUGGCUGCUGUGGUCAGCGUGGCUUAUCUGGGCUUUGUGUUCUACUUGGGUUGGCAAUGUUUGAUUGCACUGGGCAUGUCCUUCCUGGACUGUGGGCAUACGGUAAGCAUCUCUAAAGGCCUGCUGACAGAAGAAGCCACCCGUGGCUACGUUAAAUAACACUGGAUUAGUCUGUCUUCUGCAGGUAGCCAUCAGAGCCAGUGUGUUUCUAUGGUUUACUGUGUGAACAUAGCCAAAAGUAUGUGCAGUUGCACAGACUGUGUUUAUGACUCAACCGUUGGUUGGAAAAGACUUUGUUUCAUGUGUAUUUGAAAGAUGGAAUUAUUUUUUCCUUCCUGACCUAACCUUAGAACUGGAUUAGGGUGGGAUCUUUGAAAAGCUGACAUUUGCUGCUAUCAUUCCAACACUCAAUUCUUAAGUAGUUGCCCAAGGGCCAGCUCAGUUUAUCCUUUGGAGAGACAAGGAUAUGCAUGAUUCUUAACCAGGCUAUAUGUUAAAAAAAAAUUGGAAAAUGCAAUACAUUUUUUAUUAUACAAACUACAGAAUGAGUAUGCAAGUUUUAUUUAUCAAAAUGUAAUGGAUUUUUAAAGGCUGAGAAAUUUUCCUUAUACCUACCUUUUCAGUUAUUUUAAUUAUACCAAAUUAUCAACUAGAAUAGCUUCAUCCAUAUGAAAUAUAAAAUGAAGAGACACCUAGCUCUAUCAGGCUUAGGAUUCUUUGAACUUAUUUCCACUUUAAUUUCUCAGUGGAAGUUAAGAGGGGUGAGAAAACAAAGAAGGGGAAAAACUGACAACUAACGAAACCAGCACCACAUCGCUAGGUGGUGCUUACUAAUUACCUUCUCAGGAUUUUCCUCAGAUUGAAAAGCUUAUGAGGAUUUCUUGGGAGUCUUAAUAACCUGCCUGUUAGUACAGAGCUUUCCUGAUGAUAUUUACUCUUGAGCAUAUGUGGUUGUAAAACCUUAACUUUCUUUCUCCAGGAGGGUGGUGAUAGAAAAAGAUGGUAGUAUUUAUGAACUGAUGUUCUCGUGAAAUGUUGAGGGUGGGGAGAAAAGACUUUAAGGGAGGAGAGCCAUCUAUUUUGUUCCUAAAGCCACCUCUCAGCAGAAUCAUCAUGUUUUUCUGAUGCACCGCUCUGCUUCAUGCCCAAGAUGACUUGCGAGGCAAUCUCAGGAGCUGUGGACUUAACCAUUGCAAAGCACACUGUCUUUCUCAGCGUUCUCUGCAAGUCAGUAGGUGUUAGUAUGGUUGCAAAGUUCACUGUCUCGGCAAGGUUGAACUGGGCUACCUCUCUACAGCUGUUUCCUCAGAGGGAAAAAUCUUGAGACCAGAUGGUGGAGCUCUGGAGUCAGAGGAAAUGGGUGUCUUCAGCACAAAGCUGCUGCUUUUACUUCAGCCACUUCUGACAUUUUUACAUACCGAGCCUGAGAUUGUGUGAUUAUCUCAAAUCAAAUCACUUUGAUGGAGAUAAAUAAUCAAAACUGUUUUAUAGCCAUUGAUUUGGUGAGAACAGUAAUGGAAAAUGGUGUUGAAGGACUUCUCAUUUUUGGAGCUUUCCUUCCAGAAUCCUGGUUGAUUGGUGUUCGCUGUUCAUCUGAGCCCCCAAAAGCAUUAUUACUGAUACUUGCACACAGUCAAAAGCGCAGACUGGAUGGAUGGUCUUUUAUAAGGCAUUUAAGGGUACACUACUGUGUUUCACUGACCAUACAUUUUUCUUAGCCCCUCAAGUAAUAUAGCACAGAGUCAUGAAUGACAAUUCCCCUAACCAUUCCUCUUCAUAUCUGCCUCUUCCCCUUACCAUCGUAAUUCUCCAAACUGGUCAUAAAGGCACUCUGUGAAGAUAUUGGGGACUGACAUCUUAAGCUCUCACCUGGCUGCAGUAGGAAAGGCCAAACUGAUGACAAAAAAAAAAUUCUUUAUAAAGAUGAUAUGGUAACAUGUAUCUUUGCCCUGGGUCUGGGUGGGUCCAGUCAGUCUCAGAUUUACAAGCAUUUAGGAGCCUAGGUAAAAGCUGCUAGUAUUCUUUUAAAAGUUAUAUUUAUGACUUGCAAUGAUAGAAAACUCCUUCCAAUUAAAUGGCAUUUUAUAAUAUUAUGUGUGUACUUCACAGUGUUAAAAAUACCCUCAUACGUUAUUGCAUUUGAUCCUCACAGAAAGUGCAUUUUAACCAGUACUCCGGGUGCAAUAAAUAAUACGUAGAAAUUUAAGUCCUCCAAUUCCAGCAUAUCCAGUGAGUUUUGACAGUGUGUUUAUGUGGAAUGUUUAAGGAUAUACAAUUGUACUUUAUAUAAAUUGGUUCUUGUUCUUCUUAAAUGUGACAUGAAAUAAUUGUGCUGCUACAUUAUACUGGAAAUUAACAGGGGAAAAGGGAAGAGCUCUUGGCUCCCUUGAGGUUCUGCUAGUGGUGUUAGGAGUGGUUACAACUGAGCUUUUAGUAACCAUUUAACCAUAUGUAAACUUGGUUUCUAAUUAAAAAAAAUUUCUUUUUCCA